GGCGAACGCUGGCGGCGUGCCUAAUACAUGCAAGUCGAGCGGAGUUAGAGAAGCUUGCUUCUCUAAUUUAGCGGCGGACGGGUGAGUAACACGUGGGCAAUCUGCCCGUAAGACUGGGAUAACUCCGGGAAACCGGGGCUAAUACCGGAUAAUACUGACUCUCUCCUGAGAGUCAGUUGAAAGAUGGUUACGGCUAUCACUUACGGAUGAGCCCGCGGCGCAUUAGCUAGUUGGUAGGGUAAUGGCCUACCAAGGCGACGAUGCGUAGCCGACCUGAGAGGGUGAUCGGCCACACUGGGACUGAGACACGGCCCAGACUCCUACGGGAGGCAGCAGUAGGGAAUCUUCCGCAAUGGACGAAAGUCUGACGGAGCAACGCCGCGUGAGUGAAGAAGGUUUUCGGAUCGUAAAACUCUGUUGUUAGGGAAGAACACGUACGAGAGUAACUGCUCGUACCUUGACGGUACCUAACCAGAAAGCCACGGCUAACUACGUG
rnacentral:rRNA from 1 species